rfam:Camelus ferus unplaced genomic scaffold scaffold12719, whole genome shotgun sequence.
GAGUGUACAGCUCAGGGGUAGAGCACGUGCUUAGCAUGCAUGAGGUCCUGGGUUCAAUCCCCAGUACCUUCA